GCCUGGUGUGUGUGUGAAGAGAGAGAGCGGAGAUGGGGAAAAAGUAACGGUUAGCUACAGAAGAGACGACAAGAAAAUAAAUAAAAGGAAUAUAAUAACUCCCUCGACAGCCAGAGUUGUGUCGGCGAUGCUCGCUAGACAUUUUGUCCCAAUCUUCUUUAGAUCACCUCACAUUUGACUCCAGAACAGUCUGGCUCACAGAGGAAUUGAUGGCUGACUCAGUGCCUGCAAGAUGCUCAGGUUCCUGUGGCUGCAAAACAAGCUCAAAUCAUCACCCCUCCACUAAAUACGCUUGACAGCUGGUCUUAUUACUCAAAUCCAGCGUCACUGCAAGUCUUUGCUUCCACAGUGAACUGUGGGGCCACAUAUGAGGAGCCUUCCAGCACCCCUCCCAAGGACUCCAAGAAGGCCACAUAUAUUUACUGCUUUUAUUUACAACCUAAUCACAAACUACAAUUAGAGCUGGCACCUGAC
ensembl:lncRNA